ACCGCACCGCAUGAGAGGGCCAUAGCAGACGCGAUGCUUUUAGCAUCAGCGAUCGGCGUUCUCGGAAGAU